rnacentral:lncRNA from 1 species
ACAUACAUAACAUACUCUACCCAGAAUACCGACCUAAUUGGUCACUAACAUAGCAUCAUCCUAUAUUCCAGGAUUCCGACCUUAACCAGGUCUCUAACAUAUAUCAUCCUAACUACCAGGAUGCAAACAUAUAGCAAAGGAAUAACAUAACAACUACCCGGAUUUCCAUCCGAUAAAGGGCCGACCUUGGUGCCUUAGACCCUGUCGAUAUAGUGAGGAUAACUCACCCGCAACUGCCGACUGAAAAGAUAAGAUCACACUACUCCAACCUCCGACACAAACUCCACCACUGAUCAAUACCAAAAGUCUAAACUCAUUAAAUACAAAUAAUUACCAAAAUACCCCUGGAAGUCAAAGUCCUUAGUCAAAGUCAACCUUCCUGACUAACUCUACUCGUCGAGUCCACCCGCUGACUCAUCGAGUCCCUAUACUCAGAAACGCCCAAUCCACGACUCAACAUGUCGAGUCACCCCAAGACUCGCCGAAUCCAACAAACUAUGAGUCACUUUCUGCUCAACUCACUAAGUCGUCCCUCGACUCACCGAUUCACAGCUCAACCAAAAAGGUUAGGUCUUCACGACCAGACUCGCGGAGUCCAAGAACAGACUCGCCGAGUCCAAGGCAAUCUUCAACAGACUCGCCGAGUUGUUCUUCCAACUCGCCGACUCUAUGCACAUAUUCAUACAACUCGUCGAGUGCACCCAUGUGACUCGCCGAGUCCAGAAGUGAAAUCUUCAUCCAGACGAUUUCAGGCCAUCCCAAUGCUUCCAAUACAUAGAUCUGAACUCGUAGGGCCAUAUUCACACGUAAAGUUUCCAACUUUACGUGCAUGCAAGGCUCGACAAGCUCCAACAAGCUAGAAAUGAAGGUUUAAGGCAAGGACACUCUCAAUCAUGCCCCAAAGCUAUCACUUUCUGAUCACAUGGCUCCAAACCAACCUAGAUCUGAAGUUGCAACCUCAAAUCUAGUCUCCACGCCCGAAAUAGAUCCCAACCAUGCAAAAGAACCCCAAAUCAUACACCAUGGAUGAAAUAACAAGGAAAUAGCUUAAGGUAAAAUCCUCUUACUUUAGAGAUGAGUCUAAACUGAUGUAGACUUCAGAUCCACAAGAUUUCUUGAUGCUAUCCUCAAUUUCCUCCAACUUUCUCUUCUUUAAUUCCUUCUUUAAGGCUUAAAUCUUCUCAACAAUGGGGUCACACACGAGAUGAUGGUUUCUGGAUCUCAAAUGGGUAGCAAAGAGGCUAAGGGUAGCUAUAAUGUGCUUUAUAUAGGGCACAAACCCCGGAUUAGGAUUUUCUCCUUUCAGCACCAACUCGCCGAGUCCAGCCGCCGACUCGCCUGAGUUGGUCGUUUAACACUUGACCAGAACCGCGACUCGACUCACCAAGUCGACCUUCCUUAUUUACACCAAGAACCCUGAACUUGCACCGCUGAACUCGGGGUGUUACAAUUCUCCCCCACUUAAAUUAGGCUUCAUCCUCGAAGCCUUCAGCAACACAUCCCAGAUGAUACUCCCACAAUACAGCUACUGGCCUCAACCGACCCAGGUUCCUCCAAACACUACUAUCAAACCCCUAUAAAGUCAACUCUUUCUCACAAAGUCACGACAACUGCUUCAAGCCAGCCACCGACUUCUUUCUCUGACAACAACACCUAUCAACCAAUAAUCACCCGAUGCUACUUCCAUCGUUCUAAAUCACAUAAUCACUUGACUCUUACAAACUAGAUAUCACCAUGAACCACCGGGUCUUGACCCGCUACCAACUGCUAUCCCUUUCCUUGCUUGUCACAUCUUUAUCGAAUUUACUGCUGGGACUUAUCCCACUUCCUUUCCGAAUCCAACUCUUUUCUUUCCGUGCUGACAAGAUGACACAUCUUUCAGCUCCUAAGCAACUCCCAUGAGCUCUCCUCUGCAAUCACAACCAUACUGGAAAUCCAAGGCUCCAUCCUUGCAUCCCUUCCGAACUCCGCUGGUUCCAUACCACCAGAAAUUCAUCCGCAACCUCAACAAACACCCAAACCGGAUGUGCUUCCAUACCACUGGUACAAUCAUAGUGCUCAACAACCAUUAUUGAAAUACUCUCAAUCAUCCAUUCUCACUACUGCUUUCACUUCCGUGAACCAACACUCCCUCCCGGAGGUACAUACCUUUUCCUUUCCUUAUCCAAGGAAAUCUACUUGGCAACCUUGCCACUUCAGACAAGUGCCACGGUGCUAACACCCCACUCUACACUAUCCCUUGUAGAGUAACUGCUACUCCAUGCAUCGCACAUGUUCUAAAUCUGCUCGCAAUGACUCUCGGGUCCAUGCACUUCCUUCCACUAACAUGAUCAAUACUCGGGGCCAGACCCACUACUUGCUACUGCAUAGCAACAUACUGAAAUCACUUUCCGCAUAAAGAUCUAUCAACACUUAUAGAGUCUUCAGCAUGACUAGACCGACUUACCAGGCCUUCAGCCAAUCUGGACCACACUCAGAACCUUCAGCAUGUAUGGACCGCCCUCCAGGGCCUUCAUCCUGUCUGGACCGUUUUUCGAGCCUUCGACCUGACUGGUACGCCCACCGGCGUUCAGUCUCCCCGGACCGCUCAAACUAUCAUACAUCAUUCCGAACUAUUCCUCCUGGGAAUCACUCCUAUACAUACUGUUCUAGCCCUCUAGGGGUUCCGAACUCUAACUCUAUUCCAUAUACUCAGAUCCCGGCCUAAUCCUACGCCUCACAACAACCAAUCACCCUUUUCCGAAAUCCUUGGUCUGUACUCCGACCCAUCGGUCUAACACUUACUCAUACCAGCCCACACUCUUGGCUGACUGGAACACUGCUGGAUCUCAAACAGCUAAUCAAAAUCUAACGCUUGUCGACCCUCCUGAGAAUUUUCCAAUCUCUCCCACUUAGAGCACCGACGUCCAACCACCGGUGACCCAACCGGGAUCACUUAAACAACCCUACUCAACAUAUUCCCCUUAUCCAUGAACUGAUUUCCUCUAAAACGAACAACCUCCACAAAAUCACCCCUCCGACAUCGCACAUCUCGAACUCUAAGGGAGUUCGACUCUUCGCUGAACACUUCUCAAAUCGCAAUUGCUAUAUCCGGCAACAAGACCAUACAACCAAAUUCUGACCAUCAAUCCCUUGGAUGCUAACCAUUUACAACACCUUACUACUAUCACUUUCAACCAACCCAUGAAACACGCAGAACGACGAAUAAAAAUACAACACCACAAAAUAACAAGAUAACCAGACAACAACAAAACGAAAACAUACCCGCAACCGCAUCCGGCUCUACCCUGACCUCCUCUGCUGUAAGCUGAAAAGCGCGCCCCUGAGCCCUUGGGGGCUCCGCUCCACCCUAACCUCCACCCGAAAUCCUCAAAGUGGUCGGUGCUAGAGCCUGCACCGGUCCUGCAGCAAGCUGUGGACAUUUGGCCCUCAUGUGACCAACCUGAUGACAUUGGUAAAAAAAUCCUCAUAUCUUGAACUGGGGCUAACUGGUGGCAAUCCCUUGCGUAAUUCCCCUCUCUUCCGCACUUGCGGCACGCACUACCGGAUCUACAAACUUCGGUGUGGCCCCUCCCGCACUUCCCACAAGUGCGGCUGCUCUGAUCUCCCAACCUAGAAUCAACGGUCUUGGACCGUUUCGGUGCCGGUUGCGACUGUGCCAGGGCCUGCCUCUGAUCUCUCAACUGCAACUCAAUCUCCAACUCACGCCGCCGAGUGGCCUCCUGCAACUCCAGCAACGUCUCGCACCUCUACAUAGACACAAACUUCCUGAUGUCCCUCUUGAGCAUACUCAGGUAUCGGGACAUCUGAGCCUGCUCCGAAGCAAACUCAGGGCAAAACAUCGCCCUCUCAGUGAACAUCCUGGUGAUCUCCGUCACCGACUCUGAAUCCUGCUUCAUGUUCCAAGAACUCCUGAGCCAACCUCUCUCUCAACCUGUGGAACAUAACGAGUGCUGAACAUCUCCCUAAACUGAUCCCAAGAAACCACAGCCCGCUACACAUCCGAAUAUGACCCCGUAGUCAACCUCCACCAAUCCUUCGCCUCGAGCCUCAACAGGUUCAAAGCACACCUCACCCUCUGAUCAGUAGGGCAUGAACAUGUGAAGAAAUAUCCCUCCAAAUCUAACAACCAUCGCAUAACAACAAUCGGAUCCUGAACUCCAUCAAAAGUAGGGGGCUUCGUAUUAUCGAAAUCCCGAUACUGAAAACCUCUGCUGGCUCCUCCCCCUGCCGCUGCUACAGCCGAUGUAGCCGCCGUGGCAGUCGUCUCUAUAAGAGCUGCAUAGCGCUCAUCAAAAUACUCAACCAUGGCGGUCUUGAUCGACCCAAACAGUUCCAGCAACUCGGCUCGGAACAUAUCAGCAACCUCAUCAUGCAGGAUCUCAUGAAUCCUAACAUCCAACUCGUCUGUGCUCAUCUGACCGUUAACCUCGGGUGGUGCUGAUCCACCCUAACCGCCCCCUCUUGCUCCCGAUCCUGACCCGGAUCCGCUCCCAGCAUGCCUCGUAACCACCAUAUUGAAAUUGCUGCAAAACAUCAGAUGCUUUACACUAACACAGGAACCAACUCCCAACCCAGCCCUAGGGGCUGUGACUUCCUUGAUACGCGUAUGGGUCCUGUACUUUCAGUAGUAUGGGCCCAUACUACCUUCAACACAUACCCAUAUUUAUAUCAAGUAUCACCACAACACCCUAGUGAUGAACAUGCAUAACAAGCACUCAACCGUCACUCCUAGAGGAACAUUGGAAAUCUCAUAUAGAAAGAAACCCUAGGAUAGCAGGCAUCAUAAAUCAGGAAACUCUAUCAUGCAAAUCCUGAAGAUUCCUAGCCUAGUACUAGCAUGUUGCUCUAUCAUAUCUCAUAAACAAAUAACUUGUAUGGUAUUUUGGGGUUACUUACUGGCUCCGGCUGAUCGUACCUCCGUGUCCUCCUUUACUCAUUUUUUAAAACCAUUUUAAAUUCUCUUUUGAAAAAUCUCCUUGAUUUGAGACUGGAUUCACACGAAUGUUCCUCCAAUUCACUCAAACCAAGGCUCUGAUACCAACUUGUAACGCUCUAAAAAUUCCAACCAAUUUAAACUUUUCAAAAACAACCUAAUUUCAUUAAGUUAUUACAAAAAGGUUUUCAAUGCACUUAUUAUCAGAGUAUUCCCAUAACCAUAUCAUAAAACAUAAACAUGAGGAGCGGUACGAUCACGUCUUUGCCUUGCCACGGUCUCCUGAAGUACCUAAAACGUUAAACCACAACUGUAAGCCCGAAAGCUUAGUGAGAUACCCCCAAAAUACCAACCACAUAUACCAUACACAUAACAUGUCAUAUCGUAACAGAACAACCAUGCACUUCGGGUCUACUGUGUGACUGGUCCGCUGCACCGGGCCUUCAGUCCACCUGGUCCACCCUCCGAGUCUAGCCAUAUCCAUCGAGUCUACAGUGUGGUUGGUCCNCCACCUGGUCAACUCUCUAAGUCUACAGUAUGACUGGUCCGCCCGCACCGAGCCUUCAGUCGGCCUGGUCCACUCUUCGAGCCUCGGCACGUCUUGUCCGCCCUCGUGGGGCCUACAGCCUAUCUAGACCACUCGCUGGGCCUUCGGAAUAUCCGGCCCGCCAUGGGUAUGUUGGCCUAUAGCACAAAGUAGGACCCGCCUCAACCCAACCCCAGUCAACCAACCAUGUGCACAUAAACAUAUAAUCAUAUAACAAUUAAUCACCAAUCAACCGAUCUAGCAAAUCACAUACAUAUCAUACUCUAACCAGGAUACCGACCUAACCAGUCACUAACAUAGCAUCAUCCUAUAUUCGAGGAUUCCGACCUUAACCAGGUCUCUAACAUAUACCAUCCUAACUACCAAGAUGCAAACAUAUAGCAAAGCAAUAACAUAACAACUACCCGGAUUUCCAUCCGAUAAAGGGCCGGCCUUGGUGCCUUAGACCCUGUCGAUAUAGUGAGGAUAACUCAGCUGCAACUGCCAACUGAAAAGAUAAGAUCACACUGCUCCAACCUCCGACACGAACUCCACCAUUGAUCAAUACCAAAAGUCUGAACUCAAUAAAUACCAAUAAUUACCAAAAUACCCCUGGAAGUCAAAGUCCUCAGUCAAAGUCAACCUUCCUGACUGACUCUACUCGCC